AUUGAACGCUGGCGGCAUGCCUUACACAUGCAAGUCGAACGGCAGCACGGGAGCAAUCCUGGUGGCGAGUGGCGAACGGGUGAGUAAUAUAUCGGAACGUGCCCGGUCGUGGGGAUAACGUAGCGAAAGCUACGCUAAUACCGCAUACGAUCUACGGAUGAAAGCGGGGGAUCGCAAGACCUCGCGCGAUUGGAGCGGCCGAUAUCAGAUUAGGUAGUUGGUGAGGUAAAGGCUCACCAAGCCGACGAUCUGUAGCUGGUCUGAGAGGACGACCAGCCACACUGGGACUGAGACACGGCCCAGACUCCUACGGGAGGCAGCAGUGGGGAAUUUUGGACAAUGGGCGCAAGCCUGAUCCAGCAAUGCCGCGUGCAGGAUGAAGGCCUUGGUUGUAAACUGCUUUGUACGGUAACG
rnacentral:rRNA from 1 species